rnacentral:lncRNA from 1 species
UGACACUUGGAAUACAUGGAGUUUCAUCACACCACUAUUUGGUUAACAUUAACAUUUACUUGUUGAAAACAAAUAAACAUCAAAAGUAACAACAAAAUCCAGAUUGCAAAUCAAUAAUCAAAAGGAUAUAAUGAAAAAAGAGGAAAUGCAAACCAAAACUGAUUUUCAGACUGCAAGAUGUUUCAAGCCACCACAAUUUAUUAAAUAUCAUAUUCAAUACAUUUCAAUCAAAAUCAUUCUUAGAAAACAAACACUAAAAAUUAAGAAAUUCAAAAUCUGAACAUCAUCAAAAUAUAUAAGGCUCAACUGGAAAAGGGGGAAUCUGAAACAAAAACCAUGUGCUUAAACAAGUCAUUACUGCUCCCCCCCAACACUGUUCUUACACUUUGUAAAACAAUAUAGAUAAAUAAAAAAGAACAAAAAUUGAUGUGCAUCAGAAUCUCGGGUCUACAUCAUCCAAGAAGUCUUGAAGGGGAAUCCGAGUAACUCAUCACAUGCACUGAUAUUGUAAUCAAAACAUUUCACACUUUGAAAUGAAAAUUAAUAAACAAAAUUGGAAAUAAAAAUUUAUAAACAAAACUGGAUUUUCUUUUGUGGUGUCCGGGGUUCGAACCCCGGACCUAGCAUAUUAUGCAUUGUCCUUACCAACUAAGUCAAGCUCACGGGGACAACAAAACUGGAUUUAAAAAU